CCUACGGGAGGCAGCAGUAGGGAAUAUUGCUCAAUGGGGGAAACCCUGAAGCAGCAACGCCGCGUGGAGGAUGAAGGUUUUCGGAUUGUAAACUCCUUUUGUUAGAGAAGAUAAUGACGGUAUCUAACGAAUAAGCACCGGCUAACUCCGUGCCAGCAGCCGCGGUAAUACGGAGGGUGCACGCGUUACUCGGAAUCACUGGGCGUAAAGGGGGCGUAGGCGGGAUAGCAAGUCAGAUGUGAAAUCCUAUGGCUUAACCAUAGAACUGCAUUUGAAACUGUUAUUCUAGAGUAUGGGAGAGGUAGGUGGAAUGCUUGGUGUAGGGGUAAAAUGCAUAGAGAUCAAGAAGAAUACUCAUUGCGAAGGCAGCAUACUGGAGCAUAACUGACGCUGAGGCGCGAAAGCGUGGGUAGCGAACAGGAUUAGAUACCCGAGUAGUC
rnacentral:rRNA from 1 species